GAUGAAGAACGUAGCGAAAUGCGAUAAGUAAUGUGAAUUGCAGAAUUCAGUGAAUCAUCGAAUCUUUGAACGCACAUUGCGCCCGCUAGUAUUCUGGCGGACAUGCCUGUCCGAGCGUCAUUUCAACCCUCAAGCCCCCGGGCUUGGUGUUGGGGAUCGGCGAGCCUCCGCGCCCGCCGUCCCCUAAAUCUAGUGGCGGUCUCGCUGUAGCUUCCUCUGCGUAGUAGCACACCUCGCACUGGGAAACAGCGCGGCCACGCCGUUAAACCCCCAACUUCUGAACGUUUGACCUCGGAUCAGGUAGGAAUACCCGCUGAACUUAAGCAUAUCAAUAAGCAGAGGA
rnacentral:misc_RNA from 1 species